rnacentral:rRNA from 1 species
AUUGAACGCUGGCGGAAUGCUUUACACAUGCAAGUCGAACGGCAGCACGGACUUCGGUCUGGUGGCGAGUGGCGAACGGGUGAGUAAUGUAUCGGAACGUGCCCAGUCGUGGGGAUACCGUAGUGAAAAUUACGAUAAUACCGCAUACGAUCUAUGGAUGAAAGCGGGGGAUCGCAAGACCUCGCGCGAUUGGAGCGGCCGAUAUCAGAUUAGGUAGUUGGUGGGGUAAAGGCCCACCAAGCCAACGAUCUGUAGCUGGUCUGAGAGGACGACCAGCCACACUGGAACUGAGACACGGUCCAGACUCCUACGGGAGGCAGCAGUGGGGAAUUUUGGACAAUGGGCGAAAGCCUGAUCCAGCCAUUCCGCGUGCAGGAUGAAGGCCCUCGGGUUGUAAACUGCAUUUGUACAGAACGAAAAGGUUUCUACUAAUACUAGGAGCUCAUGACGGUACUGUAAGAAUAAGCACCGGCUAACUACGUGCCAGCAGCCGCAGUAA